rnacentral:rRNA from 1 species
CACCUAGUGCUCUCCCGUUCCUACAUGGCGUAUACAAAGAGAACCGACCUCGCGAGAGCAAGCGGACCUCAUAAAGUACGUCGUAGUCCGGAUUGGAGUCUGCAACUCGACUCCAUGAAGUCGGAAUCGCUAGUAAUCGUAGAUCAGAAUGCUACGGUGAAUACGUUCCCGGGCCUUGUACACACCGCCCGUCACACCAUGGGAGUGGGUUGCAAAAGAAGUAGGUAGCUUAACCUUCGGGAGGGCGCUUACCACUUUGUGAUUCAUGACUGGGGUGAAGUCGUAACAAGGUAACCGUAGGGGAACCUGCGGUUGAUUCACCUCCUUAA